ensembl:lncRNA
GGGUGGGGGAACUGGCUGGUUUAGAUCAGGAGGCUCAUGGUAACAGUUGCUAUGGGGCCUGGUUAAUUCCAGAAAUUUUUGUCUUGUGACCUUGCUCUAAGGCUCCACACCUGUGACCUUGGUCUAAGCCUUCACACCUGUGACCUUGGUGUAAGUUUCCAUGCCUGUGACCUUGGUCUAAGGCUUCACACCUGUGACCUUGGGCUAAGGCUCCACACCUGUGACCUUGGGCUAAGCCUUCACACCUGUGACCUUGGUCUAAGGCUCCACACCUGUGAUCUUGGUACAGGGCUCCACAUGCUGGAUAUGAGGCGGGGGGGAGGGGGAGGGGUUCCAGGAGAAGUCAAGUCAGCCCUUCCCUGGACCAGUGAUCAAGAAAACACCAAGCAGGUGGCAGGCCCUGUGGCCCAGGAUCGACCUGGCUGCUGACCUUGCCAGUCACCCUCGCCAGCCUGGGGAGGCUCCCGCAGCCCCAGGGACUGGCAGGCCGCCCCAGCAUCCACUGUCUCAUCCCCAGGGCUGUGAAAGAAAGACACAGCACAACAGAUGCCUGGAAGUGACGUGCCCGCUCCAGAUGCUUGUGGGAGGCAAGACUGAAAGCCCCAGCGUGGCUAGUGGUCAGGGCCACCGCACUGCCAAGCAGGUCUUGGGAGCUGAAGACUGAAGAACGUGAGGAGAGAGGCUGUGUCCUUCACUUCAUGGAUCUGCGGGGCAACGCUGUACUACUGCGCUGAACACAGAAGGGUCUCAGAACUCCGAAUACCACGAGGGGCUUGAAUGUUUCAACUCAAAACAUUCCCCAAACCGCAGCCCUCGGGGAGAAGCCUAAUAGCGCCAAACCGCUGCUCAGACCCUGCAUAGUCGGAGGAACAGCUCCCAGGAACACACGAGAGGUGGCGCUGCAGAGAGGCUGGCUGGGGCACCAGCCCACCCGGGGAAAGACUGGAUCCUUGGAGUUGAGGCUCCCAAGGCCCCUAUGGACAUCCAGUGGGUAAAAGAGAUCCCAGAAGGCCUAAUGGACCCAUGCAGUGGGCUGCGCAAUCUCCCAGGC